rnacentral:rRNA from 1 species
GGACCCGCACAAGUAGUGGAGCAUGUGGUUUAAUUCGAAGAUACGCGCAGAACCUUACCAACACUUGACAUGUUUGUCGCGACUUUAAGAGAUUAAAGUCUUCGGUUCGGCCGGACAAAACACAGGUGCUGCAUGGCUGUCGUCAGCUCGUGUCGUGAGAUGUUGGGUUAAGUCCCGCAACGAGCGCAACCCUCACUUUUAGUUGCCACCAUUUAGUUGGGCACUCUGAAAGAACUGCCAGUGAUAAGCUGGAGGAAGGUGGGGAUGACGUCAAGUCCUCAUGGCCCUUACGUGUUGGGCUACACACGUGCUACAAUGGCAUUUACAAUAGGAAGCAAGACGGCGACGUCAAGCAAAUCCUAAAAAGAUGCCUCAGUUCGGAUUGUACUCUGCAACUCGAGUACAUGAAGCUGGAAUUACUAGUAAUCGC